CACGCAGGCGGUUGGUUAAGUCAGAUGUGAAAGCCCCGGGCUCAACCUGGGAAUUGCAUUUGAAACUGGCCAACUAGAGUAUGUGAGAGGGGGGUAGAAUUCCAAGUGUAGCGGUGAAAUGCGUAGAGAUUUGGAGGAAUACCAGUGGCGAAGGCGGCCCCCUGGCACAAUACUGACGCUCAGGUGCGAAAGCGUGGGGAGCAAACA
rnacentral:rRNA from 1 species